AUGAACCCGUUAAUCUGAAAAUUUGCAUUAUAUAGCAGCAGAAGCAACGGUAUGAGCCCACCAUCUAAGAUUAUCUUUCAUGUCCAUGUCAAUCUCAUUGCUCAAAGCAGGAAUUGCCCAAUUCAUCAAUGGCUCCUCUUUCAUUCUCUGUUCCUGAACUUCCCAUGCUUCAGAUAAAUAAGGCCUAGAAACUGUAGGCUCAUCAAGAACGGUUUCAUCCUCAUGUUGCUUACCAAGUCUUUGCAAUCCUGGAAUUAUUGAAGCCAAGUUUGAAUCUUUAUCUUCUUCUGAGAAGACAAACCCCAAAUCUGUAAACCCUUUUAGCUCUUCAUAUUCCAAUUCUGACAAGCUCUUGCUUGCAACUUUCUUUCCUCUUCUCCUCGUAACUUUCUUUUUAUGUGAUUCCAGGACAUAUACCUUCUCCGUUGGUGUUGAAUACUCUUCUUCUGUGAAGUCUUUGCCUGAAAAGAUGGUGUGGAGCUUUGGUGCGUGGAGGACUGAAUCUGAACAGAAAGAAAAGCCAAAACUGAAGGUUGUAUUGGAGCAUAAAUCUUCACU
rnacentral:lncRNA from 1 species